rnacentral:rRNA from 1 species
UCCGGUGAUGAUGCCUAAAUGGAACCACCUGUACCCAUACCGAACACAGUAGUUAAGCAUUUAGAGGCCGAAAGUACUUGCAUGGAAACGUGCUGGGAGGAUAGGAAGUUGCCGGUU